rnacentral:misc_RNA from 1 species
GGGAGUCGUUGCUCGCCAUAGAUGUAGCUUGUGACAAAGUGGCUGGACCCUGAAACCUGGUGCAGGCAGGACCACCCCUUCGCUCCGUUGUCAAGGUCCAGAUGUCCCUGGUGUCCAACAGGGCUUGACUACAGCAGGCACUUAAUAUGUGCUAACUCCGUGCAUCCCCCCUCCUUUUUCCUAAGUGGAUUAUGCAUCUGCUCCUCAGGACUGAUCUUCAACCUGUCAGCUACUCCCCAGCAUCAUCCAAACUGCUCUGAAAACCACCUUUCCAAAAUGCAGAGCCAGCAGUGUCACUGCCCCACUCAAAAUGCUCUCAACAGCUCCCCACUGCCU